GGGUUCAUAGCUCAGUUGGUAGAGCAUCGAACUAGUAACGCGGACGGUCGUCAUGGGUCGUUCAAAUCCCGCAUAUAUUCA